GGCUGGUCGGGUUUGGGCAGAGAUGAGGUCCCCACAGGGCGACACAGGCAGCCUUCGGUGAGGUCAGCGGUCACCACUCUGCAGCCGAAGCGGCUUCUGAUCUCAGAGGGCCACUCUCCGGCUUCCUGAAAACACAGCAAGGCGGAUUGUCAGUGUGUCAGUGAGCAGAGUUCUGGAAACCGAGCAGGACCUGUGUGAACGAGUCCAGCCCACAGGUCACCAUGUGGCCACGCCUCUCCCUGCAGAGGGCUCAGCUGAGACUGCUACAGGCGGCUCCUCACCGACCAGAAUUAGUCCAG
rnacentral:lncRNA from 1 species